UGGGGAAUAUUGCGCAAUGGGCGAAAGCCUGACGCAGCGACGCCGCGUGUGGGAUGACGGCCUUCGGGUUGUAAACCACUGUCGGGAGGGACGAAUGCCCCGCAAGGGGAGUGACGGUACCUCCAAAGGAAGCACCGGCUAACUCCGUGCCAGCAGCCGCGGUAAUACGGAGGGUGCGAGCGUUGUCCGGAAUCACUGGGCGUAAAGGGCGCGUAGGCGGCCUGAUAAGUAGGGGGUGAAAUCCUGCGGCUUAACCGCAGGGCUUGCCUUCUAAACUGUCGGGCUCGAGCACAGUAGAGGCAGGUGGAAUUCCCGGUGUAGCGGUGGAAUGCGUAGAGAUCGGGAAGAACAUCAGUGGCGAAAGGCGGCCUGCUGGGCUGUUGCUGACGCUGAGGCGCGACAGCGUGGGGAGCAAACAGGAUUAGAUACCCUGGUAGUCCACGCCGUAAACGAUGAGCACUAGGCGUCGGGGGGAGCGGACCCUCCCGGUGCCGUCGCUAACGCAA
rnacentral:rRNA from 1 species